AGACAGCGGGAGAGUGAAUCAGGGCCCCCCAAGGGCCACUUCUCUCCAAGUCUUCCAGCUGACACCUGAGCAAGGAAACCAAAAGGAUGGAAUGAGUUGUUUUGCAUGCAAGAUUAGCAACGCAAGGAGCCAGCCUGUUCGCCAGAUGGUGUGUGAACCAUUACCUUGCUUACAGAGUGUGGCCGUCCGAUUACACCCGGCAUGGCAGCCCCCGGCCGGAGAUGGAUCAUCUGUUCCCUGGGAUACGGCUGUUUCCAUGGCAGAACCGCGACUGCUUUGCAGGGAGCAGCGGUGGACCAAUCAGGAUCCACUACACACCAACUCUGUGCAAGCCGGACCACUCAGGAUUCACUACACACCAACUCUGUGCAAGCCGGACCACUCAGGAUGCACUACACACCAAAGUUGUGCAAGCUUCCCAAAGACACACUUAUCAAGGUACCCUGAAGAGCAUAGAAGGGACAACGAAAGAAUCGGUGAGCGAGAGAAAUAUUGAAAGAUGGGAUGCAGCUGCAACAAUAAAGCAAAUUAUGGUUAUUAUAAUUAUAACAAAUUAUAAUAAAAACCUAAGAAAUUACAGCUGACUUGCUUAUUUAAUCACAAAAAAAGGGAAACGAAAUUAUUUCAUUGCUGUUAAGUGAA